UGGGGAAUUUUUGGACAAUGGGCGAAAGCCUGAUCCAGCAAUGCCGCGUGUGUGAAGAAGGCCUUCGGGUUGUAAAGCACUUUUGUCCGGAAAGAAAUCCUUGGCUCUAAUACAGUCGGGGGAUGACGGUACCGGAAGAAUAAGCACCGGCUAACUACGUGCCAGCAGCCGCGGUAAUACGUAGGGUGCAAGCGUUAAUCGGAAUUACUGGGCGUAAAGCGUGCGCAGGCGGUUUGCUAAGACCGAUGUGAAAUCCCCGGGCUCAACCUGGGAACUGCAUUGGUGACUGGCAGGCUAGAGUAUGGCAGAGGGGGGUAGAAUUCCACGUGUAGCAGUGAAAUGCGUAGAGAUGUGGAGGAAUACCGAUGGCGAAGGCAGCCCCCCUGGGCCAAUACUGACGCUCAUGCACGAAAGCGUGGGGAGCAAACAGGAUUAGAUACCCUGGUAGUCCACGCCCUAAACGAUGUCAACUAGUUGUUGGGGAUCAUUUUCCUAGUAACGUAGCUAACGCGUGAAGUUGACCGCCUGGGGAGUACGGUCGCAAGAUU
rnacentral:rRNA from 1 species